CCCUUAGAUGUUCUGGGCUGCACGCGCGCUACACUGAUGCGUUCAACAAGUUGGACCUCGUCCGAGAGGAAAUCGGGGGAAUCUUUUGAAAACGUAUCGUGAUGGGGAUAGAUUAUUGUAAUUAUUAAUCUUCAACGAGGAAUUCCUAGUAAGCGCGAGUCAUCAGCUCGUGCUGAUUACGUCCCUGCCCUUUGUACACACCGCCCGUCGCUCCUACCGAUUGAGUGCUCAGGUGAAUAAUUCGGACUGCAGCAAUGUUUGGAUCCCGAACGUUGCAGCGGAAAGUUUAGUGAACCUUAUCACUUAGAGGAAGGAGAAGUCGUAACA
rnacentral:rRNA from 1 species